rnacentral:lncRNA from 1 species
ACAGUGUAACAUCCAACAAUCAGCAUAUUUUGUGAGUGUUAAUGAACAAGUGGUGACAUUUUAUUCCUCAGCACCACCACGGACAAAUUCCAGGAUAGGUAAUUUGUGAUUAUGUUAAAGCACUAUGGUCUCUUUAAUCAACACCCUUUUUACAUCAGACAUGCCUAGUGCUCACUUAUGAAACCACAUGGCAUCUCACUCACGCAAGCAUAUUGCCACUGCCGCUCAUCCUUGCUAAUUCCUCCUCCCAAAGCUGCUCAAGAGCACAAAGAACAGAUUGCAUCUUCAUGUACGGAUGCGGUUAAGUAGCCAGAUGGGUUAAUCACUGAGCCAUCUCUCUUGUCGACGUAUGUUGUAGAGCACUCUUGCGAUUGGGAUUAAGCUCCAUCUCCUUUUGGAGUGCCUAUUAGCAGUCUGAGAAUAAUCACAUAAACACAUUUGCAUGAGAAACAACCCCAGUGUUUCCAGAUAAUGAAGGAAAACACAUUAACAUAAAUUAUACUGUAUCUGACUAGGAUAUGCCAUAACUAUACAGCAGAAGCAAAAACUAAAACACAUUUGUUAUAGCAUAAUUCUAGAUAUAACACAGCAAUCAAAAGGUAAUCAGCUAAUUGUCAAAAUCCAAACCAAUGAAGGCACACCUGCCGUCAGUUCUGCUAAUUAUAGCUAAUUUAAGGACUUGGCAAUGGGGAAAUUUAUUUCUUUGCUUAAUUAUCCACCAAAAUGAUCAGCUUAAUCACGGGAAACUGGCUAAACUUUUCUUUUCUUUUUAAUUGCACAGAAAGGCACGAACACCCUUCAUGAGGUGUUCUUCAGAAAAAUGUCAACAGAGUUACAUGAAUCAAAAUAGUACAACAUUCUUUCCCACUCAGAUCUUUGCAAUCAGUGGUACGAAUUCAAACUUUAAUCUACUCAAAUGAAAUAAUUAUUAGCCUUAGAUUAGCACAUCAAGAACAAACCAUCAAAACCAUUACUAAGUUCCAGCAGGAUGAAGCAUUGACUAUCAAAGUUAAAUGAAUUCCUCAAGACAUCACAAAAUCUCACUGGUUUAUGAACAUUUUUCUGUAACUGGAGUGAAGAUCAAAAGGGGGCACCUCAACAAAAAUCAAAGAUCAGCAAAAGUACUCAUUGAUGAUCACAACUGACAUUGAUUUUCUCAAGAAAAUUGGACAUCACAGAAAUAAAGAAAAAAAAUCAUGGCCAUGAAAAGCUAACCACAUACUAGUGUAUCCAAAGCCAAAGACCUUACCAGAUCGGAGUAUUAAAGAAACAAGAAACGAAAUCACAGCACCAUGCUUAAAAAACCAAGAAACGAAAUCACAGCAUCCAUGCUUAAAAAACACUAAGAAUCGCAAGGUUAGAGCUCGAGCCAUAGAUGACGUUGUCCCUGCUGACGAAUCUGGCACCUUCUUCCUCUGCCUCACCUGCAUCUUCAUGCUGCCGGCGCCCCCCCCCCAGAUCUGGCCGCACACAUACCUGUGCCGGAUCUGUCCUGCUCCUUCCCCGCCGGCGUUCCCUUCGCUGGAGCCUUGGAGGUGAGGCUGGGUACCUAGGUGGGUGGGGGUGGGGGCGAUAGGAACGAGGACGACAGAAGCGAGGGUGACGAUGGCAAUAAUGGAUGAGAGAGUAGCGCACGAU